rfam:Myotis lucifugus cont2.37084, whole genome shotgun sequence.
GGUGGUUCUCUGGUGAUGCACCCCAGAAUCAGGCUCCCUCCUCUCUGGUUCCAGGUGUGUCACUCAAGAACCGCG